AUACUUUGUGUCAUCCCUUUUGGGAGCUGAUCCAGAAUCCAAGUCGUCCUUGAGCUUCUAAGCACUUCUCUGGGGGAACUUAAGCUCAUCCAACAGGAAACCAACUAUCAGGCCUCCCAGAUAGUAUCAAGGAACUGAAACUUCCCAGAUCACAGCAUCUGUACAAUGAGACACCAGACCCUUCACUGGUCAUGAUUACCUGACCACCUGCCACCUGCUUCCUGCUGAACAACUCUUCUUUCUUAUCCUCCCCUAAUUCCUGUUUUCCUGUAUGUAGCUACAUUUCUUUUCUGCUGUAUAAACUCCUAAUUUUAGUUGGUCACGGAGAUGGAUUUGAAGCUGAUCUCCCACCUCCAUGGCUGCAGUACCUGAUUAAAGCUUUCUUUCCUGGCAGUACUGGUUGUCUCAGUGACUGGCUUUCUGUGCAGCCAGCAGCAAGACCUAGACAAAACCCCUGGUGUUUUGGUAAUAAUGUCACAGAACUUGCCAGAAAUCAGCCAUCUAAGGUUCUUGGGAAAGCUAUUUACAGGAAAGUGUCCCACCAGAGGCUCCUUUCUGAAAAUAAUGCCAGAGAAGAGUGUUGGGAGACGUUCCUGGCUACUGGCAAUGAAGUAGUAGGCAGGCGCUGGACAAGCCCCUUGUUCUGCAGAAGCCUGUCUACCAAGCACACUAAAAUUGGAAAGGAAAGCCCAUUCCAUGCAGGAA
rnacentral:lncRNA from 10 species